GCGCGGGUGGCGGAAUUGGUAGACGCGCUAGCUUGAGGUGCUAGUUCCCACUUAUUCGGGAGUGCGGGUUCAAGUCCCGCUUCGCGCA
rnacentral:tRNA from 9 species